rnacentral:rRNA from 1 species
GCUUGCACUAGAAAAACUUAGCGGCGAACGGGUGAGUAACACGUAAAGAACCUGCCUCAUAGACUGGGACAACUAUUGGAAACGAUAGCUAAUACCGGAUAACAGCAUUAACUGCAUGGUUGAUGUUUAAAAGUUGGUUAUGCUAACACUAUGAGAUGGCUUUGCGGUGCAUUAGCUAGUUGGUGGGGUAAAGGCCUACCAAGGCGACGAUGCAUAGCCGACCUGAGAGGGUGAUCGGCCACACUGGGACUGAGACACGGCCCAGACUCCUACGGGAGGCAGCAGUAGGGAAUCUUCCGCAAUGGGCGAAAGCCUGACGGAGCAACGCCGCGUGAGUGAAGAAGGAUUUCGGUUCGUAAAGCUCUGUUGUUAGGGAAGAAUGGAUAUGUAG